ACCUUCCAAACUACCUCCAUUUCUUCAUUUAUCAACUAAACAAAAUCUCUUUCCUUCUUACAUUUAAAGGUCUUCUACCUUUAAAUUGUUUUCCUACAUAUAUGAAGAAAAACUAAAGAAACCAAAUACAAAAUUGACUGAACAAGCUUUGAGUACUGCAUUGGAUUUCUUAAAGGAGAAAGAUGAAAAGUGUGGCUUGUAUCGAAGAACCAAAUGGACAUGGACGAGGUAGAAGAAAAUCCAAAUAAUGAAGUCGAGUUUGAGUUUGUGAGGUUGUUGCAAAAAUAUGGACGUGGUCAUUUAACUAUUCGAAAUUAUUUAGGCAAAAUACUUUUAAAAAUGUUUGAAUUUGAUAUGGAUUAUUAGUUACAGCCUUAAACUAUUCGUAAUCUUAACUACCCUCUUAACUUGAUCUUUUGAAAGCCAUUAUCCUCCUGGGCGCUUAUGUGGCAAAGAGUGUGGGUAUCGCAUGUCACGUGAAUUUUUCUGUAUAUAUGACACUUUUUUAAUAUAAAAUAUAUUUUACCUUUUUAAAUAUGUUACUUUUUUAGAUAAUAAUUUUUGAAUACAAUUUAUAAUAAAACUUGGAUAUAACUACAUUAUUUAGUUUUUGAUGUUAAUAUCAAAAUUAUUAGUAGGAACAAAUUAUUACAAUUUAUUUUUAUUAUCAGGAUCAAUAUUUUAUUAUUCCAACAUUAUAUAUGUUUAAUAAUAUUUUUUUAAUUUAUAAAUAAAAUUUAUAUAUUCUGUAGGUAAGUCAAUAAAAUAAAUUAAAAAGAGAAAAAAUAUAAUAUUAAAAAGUUAAAGAAAAAUAAAAUGAAGACAAAAAUUGACAAUUUAAAAGGUAAAAUAGGUAUAGCAAUCAAAAGUUUGAAAAAUCUAGUUAAGUGACGUUCUGAAUGCUAUAAGAAUUGUUAAAUGAUUUUGAUGUUAGAGACGGAAUGAAAAUGACUUUAAUAUAUAAUUUUGGAUAAUUAAGUAAUUAUUUGAGUAAUGAACUCUAUAAAUAACAGUAAAUUUAAACCUUUAAAUUAGAUGGUCAUAUAAUUCAUCUUUAAUUUGGUCUUUUUUCUUCUUUUUUGUUGGGUCAAGUCUGCUAGUACUAAAGUCAACGAGGGAAGUAGGAAUUAUUGCAAUAUCAUACCAAAAAGUUUGUUCUUU
rnacentral:lncRNA from 1 species